AAUGAACGCUGGCGGCAGGCCUAACACAUGCAAGUCGAACGGAUCCUUCGGGAUUAGUGGCGGACGGGUGAGUAACGCGUGGGAACAUACCCUUUGGUACGGAAUAGCCUCGGGAAACUGGGUGUAAUACCGUAUGUGGUCGAGAGACGAAAGAUUUAUCGCCAAAGGAUUGGCCCGCGUUGGAUUAGGUAGUCGGUGGGGUAAUGGCCUACCAAGCCGACGAUCCAUAGCUGGUUUGAGAGGAUGAUCAGCCACACUGGGACUGAGACACGGCCCAGACUCCUACGGGAGGCAGCAGUGGGGAAUCUUAGACAAUGGGGGAAACCCUGAUCUAGCCAUGCCGCGUGAUCGAUGAAGGCCUUAGGGUUGUAAAGAUCUUUCAGGUGGGAAGAUAAUGACUGUACCACCAGAAGAAGCCCCGGCUAACUCCGUGCCAGCAGCCGCAGUAAGAC
rnacentral:rRNA from 1 species